CCCCUCUCAGGGAUGCACCUGGAGAGUUUCCAGUACUCUACUAGUCUCAUCUACGGGAGGGAGAAGUCAAGCAGAGGCACACUCAUUCCAUUCCUAGCUUCGACAGUGGCUAGUGAGUGGAAGGAAUCUGCUACUAGU